CAGAAAUCUGCAGAGCCAACCCAGCGACAGAUCUGUGAGGAGAACUGAGAUGUACUCUGGAGUCUUCCUGGAUCUUUACUCAGCCAUCCACAAGUCUUCUCACUGUGCAUUUGAAAUGUAACUGUCUCACCUCUGUGCUGCACAAACAGUGAUUAUGUUUCAUGUCCAUGGAUUCCAGGUGAAUACAAGCUGCCAGGAAAGCAGCAGGAGUAAGCAAUGGAAUUUCACUCCUGAACUGAGAAGCUUAAAGGAGAGUGAGCUUUGAUAACCCUUCAGCAUACUGUUUCCGGUGGCUAGCAUGAGUAUAAAUGGACAGCUGCGGAUUCCUGGCUGGAUGCUGUGUGAUUGAGACUUACUGGGAAGUGCUACUUUGAGAAGGCUUUUUGGCUGGGCUGUGGAAAUGUAUGUUAUACAAAACUAAGAUGAAUUGUACAAGAAAAAUUAAAAC
rnacentral:lncRNA from 1 species